rnacentral:rRNA from 1 species
UAGGGAAUCUUCGGCAAUGGACGGAAGUCUGACCGAGCAACGCCGCGUGAGUGAAGAAGGUUUUCGGAUCGUAAAGCUCUGUUGUAAGAGAAGAACGAGUGUGAGAGUGGAAAGUUCACACUGUGACGGUAUCUUACCAGAAAGGGACGGCUAACUACGUGCCAGCAGCCGCGGUAAUACGUAGGUCCCGAGCGUUGUCCGGAUUUAUUGGGCGUAAAGCGAGCGCAGGCGGUUAGAUAAGUCUGAAGUUAAAGGCUGUGGCUUAACCAUAGUACGCUUUGGAAACUGUUUAACUUGAGUGCAAGAGGGGAGAGUGGAAUUCCAUGUGUAGCGGUGAAAUGCGUAGAUAUAUGGAGGAACACCGGUGGCGAAAGCGGCUCUCUGGCUUGUAACUGACGCUGAGGCUCGAAAGCGUGGGGAGCAAACAGGAUUAGAUACCCUGGUAGUCCACGCCGUAACGAUGAGUGCUAGGUGUUAGACCCUUUCCGGGGUUUAGUGCCGCAGCUAACGCAUUAAGCACUCCGCCUGGGGAGUACGACCGCAAGGUUG